UAUAAGUGUAACUAUAAGUUUCCGCGCCCAACUUUAAUCGUUCGUCUUAUUUAAAAAUUUUUUAUAAUUAGUAUUUUUAUUGUUAUGAGAUGAUAAAACAUGAAUAGUACUUUACUCGUGAUUUAUGAUUUUAAUUUUUUUCAAAAAAUUUUUAAAUAAGACGGACGGUUAAAGUUGGGCGCGAAAAAUCAUAGCUGCGGACAGA
rfam:Oryza barthii chromosome 2, whole genome shotgun sequence.